GUCAGUAACUGUAUUAUAUUGUGGGAUUGGGAGAGGGUCAGUAACUGUAUUAGAUUGUGGGAUUGGGAGAGGGUCAGUAACUGUAUUAGAUUGUGGGAUUGGGAAAGGGUCAGUAACCGUAUUAGAUUGUGGGAUUGGGAGAGGGUCAGUAAUCGUGCGGGAUUGGGAGAGGGUCAGUAACUGUAUUAGAUUGUGGGAUUGGGAGAGGGUCAGUAACUGUAUUAGAUUGUGGGAUUGGGAGAGGGUCAGUAAC